GCUGCGCAACCAGAACUCAAGCCAGAUUUCUUGGCUGAUUUGGUCCGUGUUUGCGGUAACGAGCAACUACCCGUCUUAGUGGGUGGGGAUUUUAACAUUAUUCGAAGAAAGGAGGAAAAGAAUAAUGACAACUUUGACGGCAGAUGGUCGUUUAUGUUCAAUACUAUCAUAGAAAGCUUGGAUCUCAGAGAGAUAGAGCUUUCGGGUAGGAAAUUCACUUGGGCAAACUCGCUACCGGUUCCGACUUUUGAGAAGCUCGAUCGUGUUUUGGCGAGCGUCGAUUGGGAACAGAAGUUUCCUCUGGUAACGGUGCAGGCAUUGACACGAGGUAUCUCGGAUCACACACCGUUACUAGUCGACUCUGGAGCUCAAACUCAUAUGGGU
rnacentral:rRNA from 1 species